rnacentral:misc_RNA from 1 species
GUAACAAGGUUUCCGUAGGUGAACCUGCGGAAGGAUCAUUACUGUGAUUUACUACUACACUGCGUGAGCGGAACGAAAACAACAACACCUAAAAUGUGGAAUAUAGCAUAUAGUCGACAAGAGAAAUCUACGAAAAAACAAACAAAACUUUCAACAACGGAUCUCUUGGUUCUCGCAUCGAUGAAGAGCGCAGCGAAAUGCGAUACCUAGUGUGAAUUGCAGCCAUCGUGAAUCAUCGAGUUCUUGAACGCACAUUGCGCCCCUCGGCAUUCCGGGGGGCAUGCCUGUUUGAGCGUCGUUUCCAUCUUGCGCGUGCGCAGAGUUGGGGGAGCGGAGCGGACGACGUGUAAAGAGCGUCGGAGCUGCGACUCGCCUGAAAGGGAGCGAAGCUGGCCGAGCGAACUAGACUUUUUUUCAGGGACGCUUGGCGGCCGAGAGCGAGUGUUGCGAGACAACAAAAAGCUCGACCUCAAAUCAGGUAGGAAUACCCGCUGAACUUAAGCAUAUCAAUAA